rnacentral:rRNA from 1 species
UGAAUACGAGAUGCUACGGCGUCGAAGCAGUCUAUGUCAUACUUCCAAGAAAAGCUUGCACUGUCAUAAACAAAUAAUGCCUGUACCAUAACCGACACAGGUGGGUAGGUAGAGUAUACUAAGGGGCGCGAGAUAACUCUCUCUAAGGAACUCGGCAAAAUGACUCCGUAACUUCGGGAGAAGGAGUGCCUUAUUUAUAAGGUUGCAAUAACAAGGUCCAAGCAACUGUUUACCAAAAACACAGGUCUCCGCUAAGUCGUAAGACGAUGUAUGGGGGCUGACGCCUGCCCAGUGCCAGAAGGUUAAAGAAGUUGGUUAGCAUCCGCGAAGCUGAUAACUGAAGCCCUGGUGAACGGCGGCCGUAACGAUAACGGUCCUAAGGUAGCGAAAUUCCUUGUCGGGUAGUUCCGACCCGCACGAAAGGCGUAAUGAUUUGGAUACUGUCUCGGAGAGGGGCUCGGUGAAAUAGACUUGUCUGUGAAGAUGCGGACUACCUGCACCAGGACAGAAAGACCCUAUGAAGCUUUACUGUAACCUGAAAUUGAAAUUGGACUUUACUUGCGCAGUAUAGGUGGGAGGCGUUGAGAAUAUUCUUGCGGGAUUAUUGGAGCCAUCAGUGAGAUACCACUCUUGUAAUGUUAGAUUUCUAACUUUGUAUCAUUAUCUGGUCAAAGAACAGUUUCAGGCGGGCAGUUUGACUGGGGCGGUCGCCUCCUAAACGGUAACGGAGGCGCACAAAGGUUUCCUCUGAACGGGUAGAAAUCGUAUCUAGAGUGUAAAGGCAUAAGGAAGCUUGACUGUGAGACCUACAAGUCGAGCAGGGACGAAAGUCGGUCUUAGUGAUCUGACGGUGCUGAGUGGAAAGGCCGUCACUCAACGGAUAAAAGUUACUCUAGGAUAACAGGCUGAUCUCCCCCAAGAGUUCACAUCGACGGGGAGGUUUGGCACCUCGAUGUCGGCUCAUCGCAUCCUGGGGCGGUAGUACGUCCCAAGGGUUGGGCUGUUCGCCCAUGAAAGCGGUACGCGAGCUGGGUUCAGAACGUCGUGAGACAGUUCGGUCCAUAUCCGGUGUAGGCGUUAGAAUAUUGAGAGGAGCCUUCUUUAGUACGAGAGGACCGAGAAGGACAUACCUCUGGUGUACCAGUUAUCGUGCCAACGGUAAACGCUGGGUAGCUAUGUGUGGAGUGGAUAACCGCUGAAAGCAUCUAAGUGGGAAGCCCACCUCAAGAUAAG